ACGAAGGGUGCGAGCGUUAAUCGGAAUUACUGGGCGUAAAGCGCGCGUAGGCGGUUUGUUAAGUUGGAGGUGAAAUCCCCGGGCUCAACCUGGGAACUGCCUCCAAAACUGGCUGACUAGAGUACGGUAGAGGGUGGUGGAAUUUCCUGUGUAGCGGUGAAAUGCGUAGAUAUAGGAAGGAACACCAGUGGCGAAGGCGACCACCUGGACUGAUACUGACGCUGAGGUGCGAAAGCGUGGGGAGCAAACAGG
rnacentral:rRNA from 1 species